AUACGUAGGGGCUAGCGUUGUCCGGAAUGAUUGGGCGUAAAGGGCGCGUAGGCGGCCCGGUAAGUCUGGAGUGAAAGUCCUGCUUUUAAGGUGGGAAUUGCUUUGGAUACUGUCGGGCUUGAGUGCAGGAGAGGGAAGUGGCAUUCCCAGUGUAGCGGUGAACUGCGUAGAGAUUGGGAGGAACACCAGUGGCGAAGGCGACUUACUGGACUGUAACUGACGCUGAGGCGCGAAAGUGUGGGGAGCAAACAGGAUUAGAUACCCUGGUAGUCCACACUGUAAACGAUGAAUGCUAGGUGUAGGGGGUAUCGACCCCUUCUGUGCCGCAGGUAACACAAUAAGCAUUCCGCCUGGGGAGUACGGUCGCAAGGUUGAAACUCAAAGGAAUUGACGGGG
rnacentral:rRNA from 1 species